rnacentral:rRNA from 1 species
CCUACGGGCGGCAGCAGUGGGGAAUAUUGGACAAUGGGCGAAAGCCUGAUCCAGCCAUGCCGCGUGUGUGAAGAAGGCCUUCGGGUUGUAAAGCACUUUCAGUGGGGAAGAAAGCCUUGGGGCUAAUACCCUCGAGGAAGGACAUCACCCACAGAAGAAGCACCGGCUAACUCCGUGCCAGCAGCCGCGGUAAUACGGAGGGUGCGAGCGUUAAUCGGAAUUACUGGGCGUAAAGCGCGCGUAGGCGGUCUGAUAAGCCGGUUGUGAAAGCCCCGGGCUCAACCUGGGAACGGCAUCCGGAACUGUCAGGCUAGAGUGCAGGAGAGGAAGGUAGAAUUCCCGGUGUAGCGGUGAAAUGCGUAGAGAUCGGGAGGAAUACCAGUGGCGAAGGCGGCCUUCUGGACUGACACUGACGCUGAGGUGCGAAAGCGUGGGUAGCAAACAGGAUUAGAUACCCGAGUGUC